CACUAGUUUAGUCUUAGUGCACGUGUUAGUUUUCAAUUUUAUUCACAUUUCACUUUGCAAGCAGACUCAGUUCUUUUAGGUUGAGUUUCAUUUCAGUUUCUAUAAUUUGUAUGGUUGAUUUAGCAAAAUUACUUUUGGUAAAAAAUAUUCCUUGGACAUUCUUCAUUAUUUGGUUCAACAUUUGCAACCAAUAUUUUUUAGGUUACACAUUGACCUGGUAACUCAGUUUGUGGUCUUGCCCCUCUUUUAUCCAUUUGGCUUUUCUAUAUGCUGUUCCCUCCAUUUAGAAAUCCCCUUACUGUUGCUCUUUUCUAACAACCUCCUCCUUUUUUCUGCAGACUCAUCUUUUCUGAAAAGACUUUUCUUGUCCACAAAUGGCUUUGAUGCUAAUACCUUUAUUUAUGCCUGAUGGGAAUAGAUGAGAUCACUCAGGAAGAAUAUGUCAUGUGAAAACAGAACUGGUUUGUACAGGACACAAAGGAAGCAGUGCCUGCCGGGGAGAAGGGAGAGGAGUGCUAGAGAGGGAGGAGAGAGCCAGGAGAAAGGCCAAGGGAUAGCUGUUUCUACAUGCAGAGCAUGGAAGUCACCAUCCUCAGUGGGGACCUUUCUCAGACAAUCUAUUCUUCCACCGUUCUUGAGCAACCAAGAUAUUAAAAAGGAAGACUUGAAGUUUCUAUGCUGCUUGACCCAGAAGUUUCUCAUUAUGGAUGUGGGGUUCUUACUUUUGAAGGUUGGUCUCUCUGCUUUUGUCUCCAUUACCAUUACAUUGUCUCUAUUCAUGCCAGCUCCAGGCUGUGUGUCUCUAGACACGAAGUCACAUUCAUUCUCCUUAGCAGUACAUCCCAUUCCACGGAAUACUGUGGAGUCAACAGGACUGGCUGGAGUUUGGAUGUGGUGGCUAAGAGCAGAGACCUGGAGUCUUUCAUGUACCCUGAGCUUCAGAGACCCCUGUAACCAUGUUUCUUUUCAGAUUAACCCCAGUUCCUUAACUCAUGCAGCUGCACCAUCAGCAAUGCCUCUCUCUCCAUCCCUGCUUCCUCCUAUCUAGCUUUUUUCAAGAUCCUACCCAGGGCUACAUCUUCCGUGGAAGUUUCCCUGAUUCCCUCAGCCAAAGUGAUCUCUCAUAUAAUCAUCAUGCUCUCUUGAUUGCAUCAGAAUGAAACACAGCUCAAAUGGGGUUUAAACAAAGAGAAUUGGAGCUCAAUUAAUUUAGAAGUUCACAAAUAAGUUGGACCCACAGACUAAAAGAUAUCAGGAAGCAUUACUUUGUUUUCUCAGUGAUCCUACCAAAAGAUCCAAGAUAUGACUAGCCUAACCUGGGUCAUUUGCCCAACACGGAAUCAGUCAUUGUAGCCACUGAGGUUAGAAUCCACUGAUUGGCCAAUCUCAGAUUGCACACUUGGUCCCCAAGAGACCAAUCUGGUCAUAGUGAACAGCUAUGUGGUGUGUGAAAAAGGGGUGUUCCUUGAAUGUAUUCAUUAAAAGUGCUAUGAAUUGAAGAGGGAGAAUGAAUACUGGGCAAGCAAAAACAUGUGUUCCUGUCAACUUGUAAUCUGUACAGUGAGAACAACAACUUCUAAAUAUAUUUUCUUGUGUUAAUACUUUACCUAUGUGCUAUGGUUUGUAUGUUUGCAUCCAACAAAUCUCAUGUUGAAAUUUAAUCCCCAAUGCGGUGGUGUUGAGAUGCAAAGCCUAGUGGGAAGUAUAUGUGUCAUGGAGGCAGAGCCUGCAUGAAUAGAUUAGUGCCCUUCCUUGGGGGUGAGUGAGUUUCCACUCUAUUAGUUCCCUAGAGAGAUGAUUGUUGAAAGAGCCUAGCACCUCCCUGCUCCCUGCUUCCUCUCCAGCCAUGUCAUCUCUGCACAGCCGGUCCCUUUUCCCUUCUGCCAUGAGUGGAAGCAGCCUGAAGUCCUCACCAGAAGAUGUCAGUGCAUGCUUCCUGUACAGUCUGCAGAACUGUGAGAUAAAUAAACCUCUUUUUUAAAAAAAUAAAUUACCCACCCUUGGGCAUUCUUUUAUAGUAACAAAAAAGGACUUAGAUACUAUGUGAGAAUGAAUCAUUCACAAUGCAAUUGUCAGACAAGUGAGAUUAACAUUUCAAUUCUCAAGUUAUCCGAUUGUUCUACGUUUUCCAGGCUUUGUCAUGACUUGUUCACUC
ensembl:lncRNA